rnacentral:misc_RNA from 1 species
UCAACCAUCAAGCUCUGCUUGGCAUUGGGUGUCGACCUCCCCUCACCGGGCGGUCCCGCCUCAAACAGCUCGGCGGUGGCUCAGGGCCUCAAGCGUUAGUAAUACUUCCCGCUUCAGAGAAACUGGGUCGCCUGCCUCUAGAAACCCACAUCUUAA